rnacentral:rRNA from 1 species
UUACGGGGGGGGAACGGGAAGACCCUUCCCAGUUCUUGCCAUCCUCUGACAAUCCUAGAGAUAGGACGUCCCCUUCGGGGGCAGAGUGCCAGGUGGUGCAUGGUUGUCGUCAGUUCGUGUCGUGAGAUGUUGGGUUAAGUCCCGCAACGAGCGCAACCCUUGAUUUUAGUUGCCAGCAUUCAGUUGGGCACUCUAAGGUGACUGCCGGUGACAAACCGGAGGAAGGUGGGGAUGACGUCAAAUCAUCAUGCCCCUUAUGACCUGGGCUACACACGUGCUACAAUGGACAGAACAAAGGGCAGCGAACCCGCGAGGUUAAGCCAAUCCCACAAAUCUGUUCUCAGUUCGGAUCGCAGUCUGCAACUCGACUGCGUGAAGCUGGAAUCGCUAGUAAUCGCUGGAUCAGCAUGCCGUCGG